CAUGCCGCCAGCACCUCUACUGGAGAUGUGAAGAAUGCUUGCCAUUUUUGCAAGGAGAUAGGCCAUUUCCGGAAGAAUUGCCCUGGAUUCCUCAAGUGGAUGUUAAAGAGAGGGAUUAAGUUUGAUCCGCACCAUAAAGGCAAAAA